UUUUCUUCAUUCAUUCAUUUGUUCCUUUGUUCUUUCAUUUGUUUAUUCAUUUUUUCCCUCCCUCCUUCCUUCCUUCCUUCCUUCCUUCCUUCCUUCCUUCCUUCCUUCCUUCCUUCCUUCCUUCCUUCCUUCCUUCCUUCCUUCCUUCCUUCCUUCCUUCCUUCCUUCCUUCCUUCCUUCCUUCCUUCCUUCCUUCCUUCCUUUCUUUCUUUCUUUCUUUCUUUCUUCCUUCCUUCCUUCCUCUCUUUCUCUCUCUUUCUCUCUCUCUCUCUCUUUCUUUCUUUCUUUCUUUCUUUCUCUCAGUUCUCUCUCUCUCUCUUUCUUUCUUUCUUUCUUUCUUUCUUUCUUUCUUUCUUUCUUUCUUUCUUUCUUUCUUUCUUUCUUUCUUUCUUUCUUUCUUUCUUUCUCUCUUAGUGCCUGGCACAGGGCUGAAUAAAUACUA
rnacentral:lncRNA from 1 species